CCAGCACCCCGAGUGGUCGGGACGAUUAUUGGGCCUAAAGCAUCCGUAGCCGAUUUUACAAGUCCUCCGUUAAAUCCAACUGCUUAACAGAUGGGCCGCGGAGGAUACUAUAAGACUAGGAGGCAGGAGAGGCAAGCGGUACUCAGUGGGUAGGGGUAAAAUCCGUUGAUCCAUUGAAGACCACCAGUGGCGAAGGCGGCUUGCCAGAAUGCGCUCGACGGUGAGGGAUGAAAGCUGGGGGAGCAAACCGGAUUAGAUACCCGGGUAGUCCCAGCUGUAAACGAUGCAGACUCGGUGAUGGACUAGCUUUAUGCUAGUCCAGUGCCGCAGGGAAGCCGUUAAGUCUGCCGCCUGGGUAGUACGGUCGCAAGACUG
rnacentral:rRNA from 1 species